rnacentral:rRNA from 1 species
AAUUCCCAGCUCCCAAUAGCGUAUAUUAAAGUUGUUGCAGUUAAAAAGCUCGUAGUUGAAUUUCGGGGUUAGUAGGUUGGUCAUGCCUCUGGUAUGUACUGGUCUCACUGAUUCCUCCUUCCUGAUGAGCCGUAAUGCCAUUAAUUUGGUGUUGCGGGGAAUUUGGACUGUUACUUUGAAAAAAUUAGAGUGUUUAAAGCAAGCUAACGCUUGAAUACAUUAGCAUGGAAUAAUGAAAUAGGACGUUCGAUCCUAUUUUGUUGGUUUCUAGGAUUGACGUAAUGAUUAAUAGGGAUAGUUGGGGGCAUUAGUAUUCAAUUGUCAGAGGUGAAAUUCUUGGAUUUAUUGAAGACUAACUACUGCGAAAGCAUUUGCCAAGGAUGUUUUCAUUAAUCAAGAACGAAAGUUAGGGGAUCGAAGACGAUCAGAUACCGUCGUAGUCUUAACCAUAAACUAUGCCGACUAGGGAUCGGAUGAUGUUAAUUUUUUAAUGACUCA